rnacentral:lncRNA from 1 species
CCCCAACUCCAGCCCAAAAUCCAUUGCGGCCCCCGCUCGCGCGUACAGAGAGAUUGCGGCGCUCCUCUCCGCUGCCGCCCCCGCGGCCGCGGCCGCGGCCGGCGCGUUCCCCUCCGGCGGCCAUGUCCCCCUCCGGCGGCCGUGUGUUCUCGCUCGGCGCUGGCGCCAGCUAUGGAGAUGAACGGGCACCGGUGAAAGAGCACUGCGAGUUUUUGGACGAUCUGCAUCUGACGAGGCUGGACCUCCAUGGUGAGCACAAAUCAUCUCUAUUCUCUUUCAACUUGGUCAUUUCAGAGGAAAGGAAAUCAACUUGGUCAUCUCUGUUCUCUGUUGUCUUUUCUUACUAGCAGUUUCGUCCUUACUGAUGAUUCUUGUCUGCUAUGUGCACAAUAAAACCUUGUCAUCAGGAGGAAUCUGAGGUUUAUUUCUUCAUAUAUUGAGGUUGGGUGGUAGUAGUACCAAAAAUGAGUUGAUAGGUUGAUUCUGAUUGGGUACAGGUACACAUCUUGAAUGAUGUGCCGUGAGAGGAGAAAAAGAAAGGGACAUGGGCAGGAGUUUAGUGUAGAAAUUUUUCACAUGACUGUACAUAUCUUGAAUGUGUACACAUCUUGGAUGACAACUAGAGCAGCUUGGGAAUGUAAGUCUGUACAUGAAGUGGCAUGCUCAGUACUGAAAGGGUUACCUGAACAUUUUGCUGAAUGUCCUGCCUCAGGACUAGCAACGUUGGUCCAAUCUCAUCUUCAUCGAACAGAAUGUAGAGUUUGUCAGUUUAGUCUGAUUUUUCAGAAAGAGGUAUAUAUAGUGGAGAGAGUAGCACAUGGAAAAAGCAACAGAUGAUGGAAUAUGUUACUUUUCCGGGAC